ensembl:lncRNA
CGCCAAUCAAGAAAUCACCCUGCAGUUUAUCUUCCCCGGUUCUUCACCCACUCAUGCCAGAUCGUUAUAAGAGCGAUAGACGUUUAAGAUGAAUCAAAACCAAAAGCAUGCAACUAAGAAAAUGUGUAAAAGAGAAAAUACUGUCAAAACACACAACGUAAAAUGUGAGGAGUGAGCGAGAGGCCCAGUCAGCAGCCCCACCACCGUCCAGGUAGAACAAUUGAUUGGCCAGAUGUCAAAGAAACGUAAUCUCUUUAGUACAAGUAGAGGCCGUCCACAAUGGUGUGAAAUGACCAUUUAUCCAUCACAUAGUGACCAGUCCACUUGGACUCCUGGCAUCCAGCAGAUGGUGAAGCCUCACUGGUCCAACACAGUUUCCAUCUUUUUGAAAGAAGGUUCAAACAUUCUUACCUUUUUUAAGGAGUUUUUGCACUCGAUCAUAUCGAUCCAUCAUAUUUUAUAUAAAUGCCUCCGUCCAUGUCCCUACAAUGCCCACAUGUUAAAUGAUCACAAAUAGAUCACAAAUAGAUUUUCCUCACUGAUGUUAUUAAGGCAUUUCUUGUGGAUUUCAUCUCACCCUUUUCUUUGAGUCGUAUAGAGACUCCAUUAGGCUACAUGGACAACUGGACUCCUACGAGCCCUCUCAUCCAACACGUGUCAAUGUCAGCUGAUCAAACCAGUCUUGGACUUGUUGUCCCUCAGAUUUGCCUACAGUAGAUUGAUCAUAAAAAAUAGAACACAAUAAAAAACACAAUGUGUUUCUAUACCUGCCUGCAUGCAAUUGUCCCAUGCUGGGCUAAUAAAAUCAGACUUGGCUGCUGA